GGCUGCCUCUGCCCGGGCUGAGGACCGCGCUGCCGCACGCCAGCCUAUGGCCGCCGCCGCGGAGCCGCGAGACACCGCGUUUGCUGCCGGGCGUUGCCAUGCCGGGCACUGGCCAUUGGCCACUGCCGCCGUUGUGCGUUACGCGCCUGGCCGCCUCAUCGAAAAAGAUGCAGGCCUGGAGUGCAUCCUCCGCCACGCCGGGGCCGUGGUCCACGGCCGCCUCGGGGUGCAGCACCGGGAGCAGCCGGGCUGAAGGAUGUCGCCACUCCACGAGGAGCCUAGCCGAGGGAAACGUCGUCCGGGCCAUGGGUCGCUGCCGAAGUUUGCUUUGGACGGCAUUAAAAAUGAUGCCCUAGAGGGCGCCGCACCAGAAGAGCGGUCGCCGCUCGACGCUGAUGGGUACUGCGGGCGCGAGCACCGCGCUUGAGAGUGGCCUCGGCGGGGCGUCCAUGGUCUGACAUUGACACGCGCCCGAGGACUCUGUUGCCGGAGAGCCACGCGUCGGCUGUGUCUCUGCCUCCAGAUGCGAGAGAGCCGCCUCACCGCUGUUUCCCCUUCGCUUUCUUCUCUGCGGCCAAAUCACUCUCGGUUAUGAGCGUGCUGAUAACGUGUUAAAGUAAACUGAUUGAGAAUGAAUCUCUGAAUUUCAUUGAUGAUGAUUGGGGUA